rnacentral:lncRNA from 1 species
AUGGUGUUGGCUCUAUUGAGAAUGAGAAGGAGACUUAGAAGGCAUUUGGGAGUUCAAUUUGGAACGUGGUCAAAGUAUUUCACCUAUGAAACCUUGACUAUAAUGAGACUAUGCCCACCCUGUAUUUUUCACUUCGUUUUCAGACCAAGAUUGAUUUCAACCAGCUAUUUUUCAAAUUUUACCUUAAAACAGGCCUUUUUGGGAACACUGACAAUUGCAUUCCCUGUGGAAGUGAGAAGAACUAAAGGAGUUUUUGCAAAGAUUACUGAGGUUAUUCUUAUUCAAUCACCCAACAUCUCUAUGGAUUUAGCCUUGAGACUUGCUUUGGAAAUUCUGUAUUAGAUGACCCAACAUGAGAAAUAGCAUGAGAGCACUUGCAUGUUGCUGCUUGCUCUCUUGUGUCUUCUGUCAUCACCAUGAGAACAUACCCAGGCUAGUCUGCUGGAUGGUAAGUAACAUAAAUACCAGAGUCAAGUUAGCUUACUUUUUCCAGCCAAUGCCAGCUUCGAUCUACUGACAGGAAGACAGGGGAACAAUCCCAGCCAAGAAUAAGGCCUAGCUACCCACCCCAUAGGUAAACUAUUGUCUCUGCUACUACAGUCUCAUAGGGCUUGUUUUUGUUGUUGUUCUUGUCAUUGAUAUAUCAUUCCAUGUCAUUAGAUAAUACAUAUCAAAGUAACCCCACACAAAAAUUACAUUGUUUAUUUUAUUUGCAUGCUUUCCUUUGAGGGGGGAGACUCACUAACCUUAUACUAUUAGAUCAUGAGCACAGCAUUUUUUGUAAAGAACUUGGCAUUAAUUAAUUCAGUCUCAAUUUAUAUCUGAAAAGACCACACUAGCAGUGAGAGAAAAGAUAGUGUCCUUACGGUGUCCUCAUGGUGAACCAAAAUUUGACCUCUUCAACUAUUCUGUUGAUAUCCCAGAUGAAUUCUCUGAAAUAUUUCCCCUAUGGGUUUCUCUUUAGUUUGUUCUCUAAAGGCUUUUAGGAAUUCAUUAGCAACAAAUAGAGAAAAAUCUGUUUUCACUCGCAAUGCCUGAUUUUAUCCUUGUAAUUCUUGAGCCCUUAAUCUUGGAAUUCAUUGAAAAACUAAAGACAAGUAAAAGUUUUUUUCCCUUCCUUUUCUAAGGUUGUGAAAUAUAAAAAAGGUAUCUUGGAGCAAUACACUAGGUCAAUGUAAUUUCUUCCUAAACUUACACAUAUCUUUCUAACUUUAUUCAUUAAUACCAUUUAUAAGUGUUGAAAUUUUGAAAAUAUGUAUUCAUUUUUUCUCAAAAGGUAAGUUUAAAUACAGUGGUUUAGUAGUAUUCUGCUAAAUUCUGAAC